rnacentral:rRNA from 1 species
GAUUAUGGCUCAGGAUGAACGCUGGCGGCGUGCUUAACACAUGCAAGUCGAACGAAGCAUAUAUUUCUGAUUCUUCGGGAUGAAGAGAUUUAUGACUUAGUGGCGGACGGGUGAGUAACGCGUGGGUAACCUGCCGUAUGCAGGGGGACAACAGUUGGAAACGACUGCUAAUACCGCAUAAGCGCACGGUAUCGCAUGAUACAGUGUGAAAAGAUUUAUCGGCAUACGAUGGACCCGCGUUGGAUUAGGUAGUUGGUGAGGUAACGGCCCACCAAGCCGACGAUCCAUAGCCGACCUGAGAGGGUGACCGGCCACAUUGGGACUGAGACACGGCCCAAACUCCUACGGGAGGCAGCAGUGGGGAAUAUUGCACAAUGGGGGAAACCCUGAUGCAGCGACGCCGCGUGAGUGAAGAAGUAUUUCGGUAUGUAAAGCUCUACCAGCAGGGAAGAAAAUGACGGUACCUGCACAAGAAGCCCCGGCUAACUACGUGCCAGCAGCCGC